GAUGAACGCUGGCGGUAUGCUUAACACAUGCAAGUCGAACGCAGACGUUCGGCUUGCUGUGUCGGACGGUUGCGUACCGCGUGAUAAUCCGGCAUCAACCUGGCGACAACCACGGGAUACGGUGGCUAAUACCCAAUUUGUCGCGAAGGUGAGCGAUCAAUUGCCUGAAGAUGAUCUCGCGUCUGAUUGGCUAGUUGGGGGGGUAAGAGCUCACCCAGGCUUCGAUCAGUAGCUGGUCGGAGAGGACGAUCAGCCACACGGGGACUGAGACACGGCCCAGACUCCUACGGGAGGCAGCAGUGGGGAAUUUUCCGCAAUGGGCGAAAGCCUGACGGAGCAAUACCGCGUGAGGGAGGAAGGCUCUUGGGGUGUAAACCUCUUUUCUCAGGGAAGAAGGCAAUGACGGUACCUGAGGAAUCAGCAUCGGCUAACUCCGUG
rnacentral:rRNA from 1 species